AAGGCGACGAUCAGUAGCCGGCCUGAGAGGGUGAACGGCCACAUUGGGACUGAGACACGGCCCAAACUCCUACGGGAGGCAGCAGUGGGGAAUAUUGCACAAUGGGGGAAACCCUGAUGCAGCAACGCCGCGUGAGUGAAGAAGUCAUUCGUGAUGUAAAGCUCUAUCAGCAGGGAAGAAAAUGACGGUACCUGAGUAAGAAGCCCCGGCUAACUACGUGCCAGCAGCCGCGGUAAUACGUAGGGGGCAAGCGUUAUCCGGAUUUACUGGGUGUAAAGGGAGCGUAGACGGCCAGACAAGUCUGAAGUGAAAAUCCAGCGCUUAACGUUGGAAGUGCUUUGGAAACUGCCGGGCUGGAGUGCAGGAGGGGCAGGCGGAAUUCCUAGUGUAGCGGUGAAAUGCGUAGAUAUUAGGAGGAACACCAGUGGCGAAGGCGGCCUGCUGGACUGCAACUGACGUUGAGGCUCGAAGGCGUGGGGAGCAAACAGGAUUAGAUACCCUGGUAGUCCACGCGGUAAACGAUGAUUACUAGGUGUCGGGGGGCUAGAGCCCUUCG
rnacentral:rRNA from 1 species